rnacentral:rRNA from 1 species
CCUACGGGCGGCUGCAGUGGGGAAUAUUGGACAAUGGGCGAAAGCCUGAUCCAGCCAUGCCGCGUGUGUGAAGAAGGCCUUCGGGUUGUAAAGCACUUUCAGUGGGGAAGAAAGCCUUGGGGCUAAUACCCUCGAGGAAGGACAUCACCCACAGAAGAAGCACCGGCUAACUCCGUGCCAGCAGCCGCGGUAAUACGGAGGGUGCGAGCGUUAAUCGGAAUUACUGGGCGUAAAGCGCGCGUAGGCGGUCUGAUAAGCCGGUUGUGAAAGCCCCGGGCUCAACCUGGGAACGGCAUCCGGAACUGUCAGGCUAGAGGGCAGGAGAGGAAGGUAGAAUUCCCGGUGUAGCGGUGAAAUGCGUAGAGAUCGGGAGGAAUACCAGUGGCGAAGGCGGCCUUCUGGACUGACACUGACGCUGAGGUGCGAAAGCGUGGGUAGCAAACAGGAUUAGAUACCCCAGUAGUC